GUGGGGAAUCUUGCGCAAUGGGCGAAAGCCUGACGCAGCCAUGCCGCGUGGAUGAUGAAGGUCUUAGGAUUGUAAAAUCCUUUCACCGGUGAAGAUAAUGACUGUAGCCGGAGAAGAAGCCCCGGCUAACUUCGUGCCAGCAGCCGCGGUAAUACGAAGGGGGCUAGCGUUGCUCGGAUUUACUGGGCGUAAAGGGCGCGUAGGCGGACAUUUAAGUCAGGGGUGAAAUCCCGGGGCUCAACCUCGGAACUGCCUUUGAUACUGGGUGUCUUGAGUAUGAGAGAGGUGUGUGGAACUCCGAGUGUAGAGGUGAAAUUCGUAGAUAUUCGGAAGAACACCAGUGGCGAAGGCGACACACUGGCUCAUUACUGACGCUGAGGCGCGAAAGCGUGGGGAGCAAACAGGAUUAGAUACCCCGGUAGUCC
rnacentral:rRNA from 1 species